rnacentral:rRNA from 1 species
UUUAACAUGAGAGUUUGAUCCUGGCUCAGGAUGAACGCUGGCGGCGUGCUUAACACAUGCAAGUCGAACGGACUUUACAUGAAGCCUAGCGAUUGUAAAGUUAGUGGCGGACGGGUGAGUAACGCGUGAAUAACCUGCCCUGUACCGGGGGACAACAGUUGGAAACGGCUGCUAAUACCGCAUAAGCGCACGGUUCCGCAUGGAACAGUGUGAAAAACUCCGGUGGUACAGGAUGGAUUCGCGUCUGAUUAGCCAGUUGGUGGGGUAACGGCCUACCAAAGCAACGAUCAGUAGCCGGCCUGAGAGGGUGAACGGCCACAUUGGGACUGAGACACGGCCCA